UAAGGAAUAUUGGUCAAUGGACGCAAGUCUGAACCAGCCAUGCCGCGUGAAGGAUGAAGGUCCUCUGGAUUGUAAACUUCUUUUAUCUGGGACGAAAACGGGAUUUUUAUCUCAAUUGACGGUACCAGAGGAAUAAGCACCGGCUAACCCCGUGCCAGCAGCCGCGGUAAUACGGAGGGUGCGAGCGUUAUCCGGAUUUACUGGGUUUAAAGGGUGCGUAGGUGGGCUUAUAAGUCAGUGGUGAAAUCUCCGAGCUUAACUUGAAAACUGCCGUUGAUACUAUAGGUCUUGAAUUAUCUGGAGGUAAGCGGAAUAUGUCAUGUAGCGGUGAAAUGCUUAGAUAUGACAUAGAACACCAAUUGCGAAGGCAGCUUACUACAUAUAAAUUGACGCUGAGGCACGAAAGCGUGGGGAUCAAACA
rnacentral:rRNA from 1 species